rnacentral:rRNA from 1 species
UGGGGAAUAUUGGACAAUGGAGGAAACUCUGAUCCAGCAAUUCUGUGUGCACGAAGAAGGUUUUCGGAUUGUAAAGUGCUUUCAGUAGGGAAGAAGUAAGUGACGGUACCUACAGAAGAAGCGACGGCUAAAUACGUGCCAGCAGCCGCGGUAAUACGUAUGUCGCAAGCGUUAUCCGGAAUUAUUGGGCGUAAAGGGCAUCUAGGCGGUCUAUCAAGUCGAAGGUGAAAACUUGUGGCUCAACCAUAAGCUUGCCUACGAAACUGACAGACUAGAGUACUGGAGAGGUGGGCGGAACUACACGAGUAGAGGUGAAAUUCGUAGAUAUGUGUAGGAAUGCCGAUGAUGAAGAUAGCUCACUGGACAGUAACUGACGCUGAAGUGCGAAAGCUAGGGGAGCAAACA